GAUGAACGCUGGCGGCGUGCCUAAUACAUGCAAGUCGAGCGAACAGACGAGGAGCUUGCUCCUCUGACGUUAGCGGAGGACGGGUGAGUAACACGUGGAUAACCUACCUAUAAGACUGGGAUAACUUCGGGAAACCGGAGCUAAUCCCGGAUAAUAUAUUGAACCGCAUGGUUCAAUAGUGAAAGACGGUUUUGCUGUCACUUAUAGCUGGAUCCGCGCCGCAUUAGCUAGUUGGUAAGGUAACGGCUUACCAAGGCAACGAUGCGUAGCCGACCUGAGAGGGUGAUCGGCCACACUGGAACUUAGACACGGUCCAUACUACUACGGGAGGCAGCAGUAGGGAAUCUGCCGCAAUGGUCGAAAGCCUGACGGAGCAACGCCGCGUGAGUGAUGAAGGUCUUCGGAUCGUAAAACUCUGUUAUUAGGGAAGAACAAAUGUGUAAGUAACUAUGCACUUCUUGACGGUACCUAAUCAGAAAGCCACGGCUAACUACGUG
rnacentral:rRNA from 1 species